rnacentral:rRNA from 1 species
GAGUUUGAUUCUGGCUCAGAGCGAACGCUGGCGGCAGGCCUAACACAUGCAAGUCGAACGGACCCUUCGGGGUUAGUGGCGGACGGGUGAGUAACACGUGGGAACGUGCCUUUAGGUUCGGAAUAGCUCCUGGAAACGGGUGGUAAUGCCGAAUGUGCCCUUCGGGGGAAAGAUUUAUCGCCUUUAGAGCGGCCCGCGUCUGAUUAGCUUGUUGGUGGGGUAAUGGCCCACCAAGGCUACGAUCAGUAACUGGCCUGAGAGGAUGACCAGCCACAUUGGGACUGAGACACGGCCCAAACUCCUACGGGAGGCAGCAGUGGGGAAUCUUGCGCAAUGGGCGAAAGCCUGACGCAGCCAUGCCGCGUGUAUGAUGAAGGUCUUAGGAUUGUAAAAUACUUUCACCGGUGAAGAUAAUGACUGUAGCCGGAGAAGAAGCCCCGGCUAACUUCGUGCCAGCAGCCGCGGUAAUACGAAGGGGGCUAGCGUUGCUCGGAAUUACUGGGCGUAAAGGGAGCGUAGGCGGACAUUUAAGUCAGANNUGAAAUCCCGGAGCUUAACUUCGGAACUGCCUUUGAUACUGGGUGUCUUGAGUGUG